ACCCGCUAGGUUUGCCUGAAUUAGUAUUCCAUAUUGCAGUCAAUGUAUCUUGAACACCUUUGCAAUUCAUCACUUCAAAAUGUACGGCUGUGAUAGGAUCAUCUGAAAAAGACUCAAAGAGUUUUUCGCCUGUGGGACUACGGAGCUCUUUUAAAACAUGGCAAACUUUUACGGAAACUUCGUCAGAGAAUAAAUACCUCAAAAACGUUGACCGUGUUUGGGGCUCCAAAAAACUUUGUGCAAUGUUCACGGAGUUAUUUUUCACCUUAUUAGUACCAACUUUGAGUCGUUCAAAUAGAGGUAUACCAACUUUAACUCGCAUAAAAACUGUACCUGAGAAUAAAAAAACAUUAAAUAAAGAUGCUGAAACGAAAUUUUUUAAAAGAUUGAAACUCCUUUCACGAAUCCUAUAGUUAUGUCAAUAAAUAU